rnacentral:tRNA from 1 species
AGCAGGGUAAGCUAAUGAAGCUUUCAGGCCCAUACCCUGACCACGUAGGUGCAAGUCCUUCCUCUGCUA